rnacentral:rRNA from 1 species
AACGCUGGCGGCAGGCUUAACACAUGCAAGUCGAACGACACAGUGGCAGACGGGUGAGUAACGCGUGGGAACGUGCCCUUCACUACGGAAUAGCUCCGGGAAACUGGUGGUAAUACCGUAUACGCCCUUCGGGGGAAAGAUUUAUCGGUGAAGGAUCGGCCCGCGUUAGAUUAGCUAGUUGGUGGGGUAAUGGCCUACCAAGGCGACGAUUUAUAGCUGGUCUGAGAGGAUGAUCAGCCACACUGGGACUGAGACACGGCCCAGACUCCUACGGGAGGCAGCAGUGGGGAAUCUUGCACAAUGGGCGAAAGCUGAUGCAGCCAUGCCGCGUGAAUGAUGAAGGCCUUAGGGUUGUAAAAUUCUUUCACCAGGGACGAUAAUGACGGUACCUGGAGAAGAAGCCCCGGCUAACUUCGUGCCAGCAGCCGCGGUAAUACGAAGGGGGCUAGCGUUGUUCGGAAUUACUGGGCGUAAAGCGCGCGUAGGCGGGUUAUUAAGUCAGGUGUGAAAUCCCGGGGCUCAACCUCGGAACUGCACUUKAAACUKGUAACCUAGAGUCCGGGAGAAGUCAGUGGAAUACCGAGUGUAGAGGUGAAAUUCSUAGAUAUUCSGUGGAACACCAGUGGCGAARGCGACUGACUKGACCSGUACUCACGCUGARGUGCGAAACGUGGGGAGCAAACAAGAUUAGAUACCCCGCUAGUCCACGCCSUAAACSAUGACAGCUAGUUGUCGGCAMGCAUUCCUUUCGGUGACGCAGCUAACGCAUUAAGCUGUCCSCCUGGGGAGUACCGCCCCAAVGUUAAAACUCAAARAAAUUCACCG